CAUCUUUUAAAAAAAUCACUAAACUACCACAACUUAAAACUUGUAAGAAUAAUUAGGUAAGAGUUAUUGUAAUAUUGAAUUAAUAUAGCACCUAGAAAUUUGAAAUUUGUAAUAUUUCAGAUGAUAUGAUUUACUGAGAAAAAGAGUAAUGAUUUUUCUUCAGUGAAUUUUCAGGGGUUUUCAACAUAGGUCUCUUUUAAAAGGGUUAAAAAAUUUAUGCAUACUAGGAAUUGACCUGAUGGUAACAGAUCCAUGUGUGACAAAUAAUGUAGUGCAGUCCUAUCUGAAUAUAAUUUCUUUUUCACUUUGUCUCAUUAAUUUAUACCUCAAUUAAAACAUUCUAUAUGCAAGUGACAUAUUUCUCUAAAACAUUCCGUAUUUCAGAUUUCCAUUCAGACUAUCUUCCCCUCCUCCCUUUUCUCAAAUCAGAGUGAUCUUGUGGCAUACCAUUUGCUUUUUCUCUC
rnacentral:lncRNA from 1 species